CCGCAAGACGUGUUCACGGUGUUCGCUGCCACUCCAAGUCAAUAGGCUAACGCUUCCCGGAUUUUCUAGGUUACGAUUCCAGUUUAAUUGGGAUUUUUUUUUUACAUCUAUUUUAAACCAUUUACUCUUCUGGCUAUUUAACACACUAUUAAGAUCUUGUUUUGAGUGAAGAGAUAAUUCACCUUUUUCUAGUAUUUUGCUUUUGGCUGCAUGCGCAGCAUUUAAAGGACAACUUUUCAGCUGUGAAGACCACACUAAAAUACAGUGUCCGCUUAGCAAAGGCAGGUGGCAUGAAAGGCGGGUGAGGAUUCCUCUCCGAAAUGCAGAGAUUGAGAUCGGCCCCCCGCAGCUCGGCGCGGGGAACACAGUGCGGACCCUCCUCUCCCAAAAACACUCUCCGUACAAGCUGGCAGCUGGUUCACAUCGCGUUCCCCGAUCAAGCCUGAACCGCCGCGCCUGCAGCGACGCGGCGAAACCACCAGGGAUCAGCACACCACCCCAGAUGAACGCGAGCUCGUCUGGGCGCCCCGGAGACCCAGCACUUGGAGAAGCCGUGGCCAUUGAUGUCGCCGCUGGAGCACUCCUCGGCAGGGACCAAGGCCUGCAUACACCGAUCACUUUAUAAACAGAGGGCUCAGCUUCACCGCCCCAAGGCAGCCAGACCAGCGGGGGGCGGAGAAGAACCGCUUCACACAAGCACGGAACACGCGAAGGCCGAAGUGCCACGGCAAGGCAGCCGCGCCAGGCAACUACCGUCCACCGAGCAGCGGCGCUGCAUACACCCCGCGGCCCAGUUUCCAGCCUCUUUCCUGGAUCUAGUGAGCUGGACCAAAUUUCAAAAGUCUACAAUGUUACAGGCGUUCUGGCUAACAAAGCUUUCCACAAGUUCAAGCAGUCAAGAAUCGCAAGGUUUGGUUUCUCCUUUAAAAAAGGAAAAGGAAUGCUUCCUGUUGUGCAGUUUGCCUCCCAAAGGCUUCUCUCUCCUGUAUGCAAUGAUAAAAUAUGAUCCUGAUGAGAGAAUUGCUGCCCAUCAAGCAUUACAGCUUAUUUUCAAGAACUCUGGCAAGUGA
rnacentral:lncRNA from 14 species